CUCUUCUUAGCCCAUAUUUAUUAUUCUCUUCUGCAUCUCAACAGGAGUAAUCUCAAUAGCCAAAAGCGAACGGGGAAACAGGUCAAAAUUAAGUACAAAAACAUUCUACAAAGUGGUAAGUAGCCUUUGCUGACAUGCGAAUUAUGAAUGUAAAAAUAGGAGCUUGAGCUGUUACUAUGUACAAUUGCAGCAGUCCUCUGAAGACAUCCCCCAAUUAACCCCAGCACUACUUGUUCAAGGUACACACUGCUACUUAUCCUCCAGCUGGGGGUCUCUCAGGUAUCUCUAACAGCUUGUCUUUGCCUUUUAGUGUGUGGGGACACAAUAAAUUUGCUUGACCCACCAACUCAAGAUGCUGACAUCAUCCCUGAUCCAUGUGUGCGUAUGUCAGAUGUAUCUUGAAUUCUAUAAGUGCAAGUCUGUCUUGUCAUGCUUUAAAUACUUUGAUGUGCAUCAAUCUGCAGGGUGGAGGACCAUCUGCCACAAGGGCCUGUGAGGAGGAGGAGGAGGACACCAUAUCAGCCCAAACUGAUCUGCAAGAGGUCAGGACAAAUGUGACGUUUGAUGGAGGUAUCUGAUUUCUACAGAUUAUAUAUAUAUACAUAUAUAUAUAUAACCAAACACCUUGCUGCAGGGCGUGACCAGAACCACGGAGCAGACGGCAUCAGCCAGACAUGAAGUAGGUUAACAAUUAAUUGAAUCUACCAACUAUGUGGCUGGGGACUCACAUACACUAUCUCUUACACAGGACAUUCGUUCCAUGUACAAACAGCCCCUUUAGCUGACAAUGGAUAACCAAAGGCUGGACCAGAAGAUGAAGCAUCUUCAAAUAAAGAAGCUGAAGUUGGAACUCAUGAAACUGGAGAAGGAUGCAAGAACAAGUCACACACUAGGAAGCUGUGGUUAC